rnacentral:misc_RNA from 1 species
AAGUCGUAACAAGGUUUCCGUAGGUGAACCUGCGGAAGGAUCAUUACAAAAUCCAAAACUAAAACACAAUCUUGUGCUCUUGAUUCUAUUAUCGCUCUCAAGAUAAAAAAAGAGAUCAGAGCGAGUGGAGUAUUUGAAUAUAAGGUCUUUGCGGUCGGUGCUCUCGUGGCCAUUAGACCGCAAACUCUUUCUUUCAGUACACCGAAGCUUGUUCUCCUCUUUUCUUGGGGCAUAAUAUGUCUUUUAUCUUUUUUACUUUAAAAAACUCCUUGUUGGCCGUCAAAGCCAACCACAGCAAAAAGGAAUAACAAUGUUACAACUUGAGAACAAAAAAAUAAACAAAAUGACAACUUUUAACGGUGGAUCUCUUGGCUCGU